rnacentral:lncRNA from 1 species
AUAUACAAAAAGUCGAUACUAAACACAAAUAUUCAAUCAAUUCUCAAUUUUAUAAUAUUCUUCGGUUUCUUUUGAACUUUUUGUUUGUUAAUACUUCGCAAGAAACCUGUAGAAUUCUGCUCACUGGUAAUUAUCUUAUCAUAAAACAUUCAGCCAACAACGUUCAAAAGAUUUCCGAUGAAUUACGAGAAUCAUAAUGCAACGAUGCGUGCACAUUUGCGGCGCAUAGGUGAUUCGACCUCGUCACCUUGCCAUAGCUCGACUAUUCUAACGUUGACACCCGCUAAAUAAAUCAAUCGUGUUCGCGCGAGAAGAAGGAUGCUCGAAGGAUUGGAGAAGCUAUAGAACGUUGAAACGGAAAGUUCAUGCCGACUUGUGAAUCAUGAUAUUAGCAAGAUAUCGUUGAAACCAUUCAGGCCAACUAUUUCGAUGAGCCAAUACCUAAUAUUGACUCCUCUUUACUUUCCGAAAGAAGUUAUGCGACACGUCUCUUGUAUAAUAUGAGUUGUCAAAGAUACUGUGAAAAUUACUCACACUUAAAAAAAAAAUCUUAAAUUAAAAGGAAGAUUCCUAUUUCUCCUACAAUAUCUGGAUUCUCUUCUACAAUUCUCUUCUUUUUUUAACUAAUAAUAGUGAAUUAAUAAGUGAAAAAUAUAGAUAUUAUUAUAAUUUUAUAUAUGAAAGAAAUAGAUUAAUCAAAUAAUUUAGAAUUUAUAAAAUUUCAUUUAUUUUUAUUACAAAAUUUAAUAUUAUUAAUAUAAGAUAAUUUAUUAAUAUUGAUAACAUGUAACUUAUGAUUUUUUUAUUAAUUUUAAUUAAUAAUAAUAAUUUAAUUAGGCAGAAGUGCAAAAAUCUUUUUCAAACAAAUGAUUAAAAAUUUAAUCUAUCAUUGAAUAUCAUUGAUAUAGAUGAUUCAGAAUUCAUGUAAACCAUUAAUUGCAAUAAUCUUCUUGAUUAAGUAAUUGCAAUAAUCAAAAGAAAAAACAGAAAUAAAUGAUUCAAGGGAGAUUUCAUUAAACUGGGUAAAAUAAUGCCCGCUGGCAUUUAAAUCUUAUGGUGAAAUUACAUAAUACAAUAACUGGAAGAAGGUAUAAAGAGAGAAAGUGUAUUAAAUAGCUAGUUACAAAGCCAAUGCGUUUCAGCGUUAAUUGAAUAACAGUGAAAUUUCGUAUUUGAACUUUUUUUCACGGCCACAAUGUUCACAUAGUUGAAGAAAGAAAAGGAAGUUGAACUCGUGAUUGUUCUCUCUCUAGAUGGUAUCGAUAAUUUAUCCAGCACGAAUGAAAUAAAUCGAUCGAUACAAGUUUUACGUACAAUGGAUGAUUCACGACUGCGAGGCUAGACGACACUUUUGAGCCACCAUUAAAAAUCCACUAUGCAGACGCAAUAGUACUUGUGUAUCAGUGGAGGCUCGUCUGCCGACAGUGUGGUGGCAUUUAACCGAUCCAUGCCAUCGUGUUCGCCAGCUCUAUUACGCAACUAGUGUCUUUAAGCCGGCGGCAACGAUUGUGACGACGACAUCGACGACAACGAAGAUGACAACAGCAACAUCGACCUCAUGUGGUCCAUGUUAGCUUAGAUUCUUGCGAAAUUUUUAAUUCUCACGUGAGUUUUUCAUUAGAGAUAGAAUUAAGUUCAAUAUAUAUUUAAUUCGAAUCAAUUUUAAUAAGGUAUU